CCCCCGCCGGCGGGGGCAGACGUGGACAGUACCCACAAUGCCUGGCGGGAGGCGGCCGCCGUGGCCGGGCGCCGGUGCCGCCGCCGUUCCCGCCGCCGUUCCGAUAUCUCAACGUGAACUUUAACUGUCAAGAUCAUUUAAAAAGCGAACAGAACAAUAUUUUUCCUUCUGAGAGCUGGCUACGGGAUUCUGAGUUUCUCCUGCAGUGCUGUCCUAUUUGCUACCUUUUCCUAAAACAGGACAUGGAGUUAUGUUCCUUUCUUCAUGUUAGGUGCUAAUGAAGUUACUCGCUUCAUCAGAGGAAAUGCAGAUCCAUGAAAUUACAUUUUGUGCAGGUUGUCGUUAACUCUGUUGGCAAUGUCUAUGAUUUUAUCUGCCUCUGUGGUCCGUGUGAGGGAUGGACUCCCACUGUCUGCAUCUACUGAUUAUGACCAGAGCGUGGGAAUGCAAGAAUGUAGAAAAUAUUUUAAAAUGCUCUCAAAGAAACUUUCUCAGCUUCCUGAUAGAUGUACUCUGAAAACUGGGCAGUAUAAUAUAAACUUUAUAAGUUCUCUGGGAGUAAGCUAUAUGAUGUUGUGCACUGAAAAUUAUCCCAGUGUCCUGGCUUUCUGCUUCCUGGAUGAGCUUCAGAAAGAGUUCAUCACUACCUACAAUAUGAUGAAGACAAAUACUGCUGUCAGACCGUACUGUUUUAUAGAGUUUGAUAAUUUCAUUCAGAGGACCAAACAGAGAUAUAACAACACACGUUCUUUGUCAACAAAGAUGAAUCUUGCUGACAUGCAGACAGAAAUCAAACUGAGACCACCUUAUCAAAUUUCUGUGUCAGAACUUGGUUCAGCUAAUGGGUUUGCACAUUUAUCUGUGUCGGAAUAUAAGGGUACUGGUAAGAUAUCUGCAGCUCCUCAUCAGCGUCUGGAACCUGUCACUCUGCCAGGGAUUGUCUCAUUUGUGCUUAGUCUGUUAUGUGGGGCUUUGAAUUUAAUUCGUGGCUUUCAUGCCAUAGAAAGUCUUCUCCAGAAUGAAGGUGAAGAUUUCAGCUAUGUUAUCGCAUUUUUUCUUGGAACAGCUGCCUGUUUGUACCAGUGUUACCUGUUUGUAUACUACACGGGCUGGAGGAAUGCCAAAUCCUUCCUGACUUUUGGGUUAAUUUGCCUGUGUAACAUGUAUCUGUAUGAACUGCGCAACCUGUGGCAGCUCUUCUUUCAUGUGACUGUGGGAGCGUUUUCUACCUUACAAAUUCGACUGCGACAACCACAGGGAAAGUCCCCUGAUUACAAUGUCUGACAAGUCCUGGAACAUUUAGAGGCAGUCUUGUUCCAACAGCUAUUCACUCUCAGGAAUGUAAAGCUGUUCUCCAAAAGACGCUGUCUGGAUGGGGCUUUUUUUUUUUUUUUUUUUUUUUUUUUUUAAAUAAAGCAGUGUAAGAUGCCUGUGGACAUUUUUCACUUGAUGGUUAAACUUUUUUUUUUUUUAAAGAAGGACACAAAAGAAUAUGGGAGGAAAUGGGUCAUAUCAAUGCAGUGAAAUGUAUAUAGGGACACCAAGUUUGGAGAAUUUGACUGGUGGCAUAUAAAAGCUUCAUUCAAAAGUAUGUUAAUGGAAGGAAUGUAUACAGUACGUGUUCUGCAUAUCAUGCAAGCUCUUCACUUCCAAAAUCAGUUUUGCCUUUGUGAGGCAGUAGGGGAUAGGCUAAAUAAAUAAUAAUAAUGCUAUUGCAUAUUAGCAAACUAGAUUUGGAAAAUGUGAGAUACUAAAUUUUGGAAUGUUUUGUUUCACAUUGACAUAUAUGUGAAUGUUUUCUUAAUUAAAAUGUAACCUGGAAACUCUGUUUCUGGGGAUCAGCUUUAUGGCACCUGUGGCCCUCUGUCUAGUGCUAUAAAUACUUUAACAUUUUGUCAUUUAUGAUUUCCUUUUAAUUAUCUUUUGAAAGUGAUCUGUGUGGACAGGGUUUCUUUUUAGUAAUUAUUCAAAAAGUUCUGCCACUUAACCCAGGAUUUUUGCACGCUUCCUGUGUUUGAACUCUGGAAGGGUUGAAAGGAAAUGAAUUGGUUGUACUAGUCAAGAAAAUGAUGUAUGAUACAACCAAAAAGAAUUAGAGAAUGAAAUUGUAAUCCAAAGUGAACAGGAGCAACACUGUAUUAUAUUCUUCGUAAUGUGUGUCUGCCUGAUGUCUGAGAUCAAGACCUUGAAGAUACCUUGGUGUGCAGCCUCAGAAGAUUGGUGUUGGAGGUGAUGUGCUUUGCAGUUAUUUCUCUUCCCUCCCUGCUUUGAGACAGAGAAGAAGAAUGAAUUCGUGAACAUGGUCUGCUUUUGUUUUGGGAAUCCAGAAGAUGGAGGAAAGAUAAAGAGGAGUGGAUUGAAGCAUACAAGAAUUUUAGGAAAUGUUUACACCACGAAUAUUUUAAAAAUCCAGAAGAACAGCAAACAGCCUUUGUUUAGCACUGAGAAGUUUGCUUGUGUUAGUAUUCAGUGCACCUUUCUGAACUCUGGAUACCAGAGAAGGUGAAAAGCAGUCCUUUACCAUUUUAAGUCAAUGAUUGAAAAAUAUAGCUAUUCAUGUUUUACGUAUAAAAACAGGUUUCAUCUUGUGUAUAAAGUCUAGAAGAGUCCUUAUACCUAUCUUUUCACUGCACCUCCAUUGAUAGGCAGGGAGGCUAUUAUGAAUGCCUGAAGUACUGCUUAGUUUUUAACUCGGGCUGUUGUGCGCAUGAAGAAUUUUCUGUUGCAUCAUUUCUUCAGCGUAUGUGUUGGCAGAGAAUCUUGUUUUCUCUGAGACACCUUCCCUUCCUGCUAUUCCUAAAGAUGCAUUUUUAAGGAAUGAAAACUUCCUUUGUCAUAGCAUCUGGAGCCAUUAUUCCAUUCCAGUUAUGCUGGCAUUAAACUAAUUGUUGAUUAGCAGGUAUAAUGAACAAAUGCAACUGUCAGUGUAAUAGAAGACUGGGGGUUUUGCUUGCUUGUUUUUAUGGCACUGAUAAAAAUCCCAUUUCACAAUGAAAAGUUAAUGAGCAUGACUGUUCUUCAUUACCUGAUAUUACUAGGUGCUAAAACAUGGCUUUUGAACAUAUUACUUUAGUUUGACUAUAAUAUUAGAACUUGCUGAAAUUUUAUGUGAGAUGAGAAACAAGAUACACCAGGCCAAGUUGGAGGUGAAAAUUUACUGAAAAUUCCCAGGAUUUCCUAUUUGCUUAUACAAACUCAGCAUUCAGAGAAAUAGUAGGUGUUUCCCUGCUGAUUUACCAGAUACUUGAGUUAUUAGACUUCUGAACUUACAAAAGAUGACUACUCUCUUGAACAACAUGCAUUAUUUUAGUUUGAAUUGCACAAAGCUAUUCGUGGUUGCUUGAUUUUUCUGUGGGUUUUAGCAGAAGCAGAGCCCACUUCAUGCUGUAUUUAUAAAGUAAGUCCUCUUUAAGGUUGGAAUAAGGUGUCACUAUUUACAUUCACUUUCAGGAAGGGAUGGCCAAAAGUUUGACUGACUUCAUAAGGUAUAUAUAAUGCUGUUUGAGGUUUGAUUACCUCAGAGUCCCCUAUUUGAGCUUCUAGAGAUUUGAUCACAUUCUUCCUUGCAUAUGUUUCUUUAGUAUCUGAGGUUUUUCAUAGUGGUCUGCUCUCUUGUAUUCAGUGUCUGGGCCAAUAGCUGGGGGUAAGAACUUGUUUCAUUUGUGAAUUGGCAGAUUUUGCUAGGAAGUAAAUUUUCAGAUCCUGGAAAAUGUGUAGACCCCUUCUCCCUUUCACACUGCUUCAUGGAAGACUGACACACGCGUAUAAGAUACGUUAUCUAGAGAAAGAGAAGGGGAGAGAGGUGUAGAAAAGAAUGCAGCCUUCUACGAGGGCAUGUAUGUGUGUGUUACUUGGAUUGAUGUUUAGCUAUAUCAAAGCUAGCAGAGAACUAGAUGAUGAUGGAAACUGGUUUCCUUUGCAGACAUCGUGCUUACUCUAACAUUCACUGUGGAUUCUUUAAUAUGUUGAUAGUCUGUUUAUCAAAGGACUGAGGAACAUCUGUUUAGGGAUAUUACCUUUCAGCCUCCUGCCUUUCAUUCCCCAUUUCCACUGCAAGUACUAUGGUGUGAUUGUUUUUUGCUUUCAUGGUUUGUAUUGAAGAAGGAAGCCCAUUAACAUUUGCAAACACUAAACAUGGUAUUUUGAAACAGCUUUUUGUCAGAAUAAAUAGCAUUCUAGAUAGGUGUUAUGGCUUGCAAAAAUCCAUGCUUUCUGAAUGGUGUUACUAUAAAGGGAUGUAUUACAAGAGGGGUUUUUCCCUGAUCGGAGGUAAUUGAUGAGAAGGGUAGCAGUAGGGGGUCUGCUUCAAUGGCAGUUGCAGCCCUGUGUUGACAAGAGUCUAGGUGGUCUCUCAACAGGAGUCUGAGGAACCCUGGAGCAUCCGGCUGCUUGUGCAGUUCCAGUCAUAGCUGGUCAGAUAUUCCAGGUACUGCUUAUUUUGGUGAGGCCAAAUGGUCUCACAGCAUCUGUACCAGCUUCUUUUACUUAACAAAAUUGUGGUUCAUCAGUUUUAUUGAUCAAAUUGUUUGCUAAUGAACUUUACGGAGCACUUUUGUCAAUUGGUUCACCCCCAUUUGCUAUCCUGACUUCCAAAAGUUGUUCAGACCAAAAGUGCUAUCCAAAAGUUGUUCAGACCUCUUAGAGCAUUUAUGGAGUUUUGUUUUCCUGGAUAACAUUUCUUUCUUCCUCAGAGGCAAAGCCUCCUGAGACAGGUAGAUGACAAGUACACGUUCAGAAGGUUUAAGGUACGAUUAGUAGGGGCCGUAUAGGCACUACAUGGGUACCUGGCUCUGGUAUGGCAUGCAAAGCUCUGGCCUGGGCAUCCAGCUCAGCUUGCACUAGGAACAUACGAGUGACACUGUAGGAUCAGCCCACUAACCUGUGUACUGAGCAGAGCUUAAGGACACUCUCUAGUUGUCAAGCACCAUGCAAAGCUUGAAAGCAAACGAGAACGUGCUCUGUCUCUUGUACUGAAGCUGCUGUGGAAAUGCCAUGAGAAGAGAGGGCAAGAGAGAAGGACUUUGUCAGCUGGGUGUUCCUAGGCUCACCUAGUCAGGAGUCGUGGUGCCUGCUUUCAACAUGAAAUGUGACAUUAAAUAAUUCCAGAGCCGGCUCUGAAUCUGUCUUUGUCCUGCCCUUUUCAGGACACAAACUGCAUCUCAACUUCAGGUGAGCCCUAGCAGGAGGUGUGUAGCAUCAAGACGGCACUCUGGGGCUCUCUUUCUUCAGUGUUCUCUCCCUGUCCCCUGGACGUGGCUGUGCUGGGGUGCUCUGCUGUGCUCCUUGCUGAGCAGGUGAAAAAGGAGAGGUAGGAUGUCCAUUAACCUGUAUUUCAUUUCAGACUGAAUGGCAACAGUCACAUGAAGUAUAGGAGAGCACCAAGCAUACCUGAGUGGUGAGAGCAGCAGAUUCUCGGCUCUUAUCCCCUCAGUAAAGGAAGGAAUUGAAGCCAUUGUCCCGGAGGUACGGCAGGGUUGCUGGUAAUGGCUUCAUCCUGGCUUUGGUGGGACUCAAGGUUCACAGUGCCAGGUUUGGCUGCCACAGAACAGGUGUUUUAUGGCUCCUGUUGGAACUUGGGCUGCACUGUGCAAGAAGUUUGCUGUUAGGUGGGGUGGCCUCCGCUGGAACCUUUCAAGGGCACCCUCGUAGGAAGGAGCAGCAGCAGCAGCAUGUAUGGUAAGGUCUGGUCUUGUUGCACCACAGAGCCUGGGAUGAUUAUUUUUUGCUUAUCUAUAGUCGCAGCUGAUAGUUUGUGUAUAAUCGGUUAAUUUGGAAGGAGUGGCUGCCUUUAGGUUGUGAUGAUGGAAGGGGGUUUUGUGUCUCUCUCAGCCUGAUCGUGUGGGACUGCUCAGCAGCAGUGGCUACACAAGUCUGUUUCCAGUAGAUGGCAAUAGUUAUCUGAAAUUCUCUGUUUAAAGACAAGAUCUCUGGGCCCAGCUGCUUACACGGGAAGCUCGCUCUCUCUAGCUGUUCUCCUGUGAAGCUUCUUAUUGAAAUGGCACAAGCGUUGUGCUGCACCAGCCCUGCCUCUGAGCUUGUCAAUGCUGGGCUCUCACCAUGCCGCAUCACUGCUGUAAUUCCCACCCAGGGCCCACCGCCGGCUUACCCGCUUUUCUCUGCACCGGCUUUCAGCGGGAGCCACGGGGCGCAGGGCUGGCACCACCAGUGCGGCCUCGUCGCCAGCACUGCAAGCAAAGUGCCGGGGCAGAGGUGGGCACUGUGAGGUGCUCAGGGACAGGAAUUAAAAAAUACAACCCUGCUUUUUACAGUAAGCUACCUGGCUGCCAGAUGGCAGGAAAGCGUUGCUGCUGCCGUCCCCCAUUCUGCCUGAAAUUCAAUGUUCUCAGUCCUGCCCACCCUCCGCCAGGUGCUUCUGACUCUUUCAAUUGAAAUGGCUGUGACACAGAGGGUCAAGAGAAUGGAAAUGGAGUUUUUCAGCUUAAAACAGCUGAACUGCCCUUUUUCAGGCCACAUCCCAAGCUAUCUCUCUCGGCCAGCCCCCAGACCUCAAACUAGAAGUGAUGGUGCCCUGAGGAGCAGUUGGGAAGGUUAACAGAAUGAAACGAUUUGCUUCUGGGCAUAGUUUUUGGCCAGAUGUUUGUCCAUGUAUGUUGUGUAACUCACAGCAAGGCCAGGGAUACUGGCAGUGCAGAACACACAUGUAAGAAAUUUGGCGCGUCCUAAAUAUAUAAUUUUAUUAUCUGCAGGCAGAUAUCUGAUGUAGCCAGCUUUGUACUGGGGAGAAGUGGCUAAACACCUUAAAAUUCAUCAAAAUGCUUUCUACAUGGGAAAAAGAUGCAUUUAGGGAAAAUAGUUCAGCCAGUCAGUGUGUACAGCAAUUUAAAUGAUAGGGCACAGCACUGGAGGCUACUGGUUUUCCUCCCCUUGGGAAUACCCAUACUAUACCCAGAUAGUUUUAAAAACCGCCUACAUCAGAUAAUGGCCUGAAUUGCUGUUUGUAUGAUUAUGUAGGAGAACAUCUAAUGUAUUAAAUCACCAUCUCUCUUAAAGACUGA